rnacentral:rRNA from 1 species
UACGUAGGGGGCGAGCGUUGUCCGGAAUUAUUGGGCGUAAAGAGCGUGUAGGCGGUUCGGUAAGUCUGCCGUGAAAACCUGGGGCUCAACCCUGGGCGUGCGGUGGAUACUGCCGGGCUAGAGGGUGGUAGAGGCGAGUGGAAUUCCCGGUGUAGCGGUGAAAUGCGCAGAUAUCAGGAGGAACACCAAUAGCGAAGGCAGCUCGCUGGGACGUUACUGACACUGAGGCGCGAAAGCGUGGGGAGCGAACAGG